AGAGUUCGAUCACUUGAAGGCUUUUCCCCAAUACACGAGCUAGGGUUCCAGCAAGGAGGAGAACCAGAGUAGAGAAGCGAGCUCCACGGUCCAGAGGAAGAAAGCCCAAAAGGAUAAUCAGACCAAAGAAAGAGCCCAAGAAGCUGAUCAGAAGCAAAUUAGAGUGUGCUAAGCUGGAACGGUUGAAGAACGGUUAGAGUUAGUUGAAAGAGUUGAUUCAAGAAGCUUCUACUGUUAUUCAGUUCUUCCCCCUUCCCCUUUUUCUUUUUCUUCUUCUGUUUUAGACUUUCCCUAUAUAAAGGGACGUGUUGUAAGUGUAAACGUACGUGCAUUGGGUGACAGACUUUGCACUUAGCUUAGGGGUAUAAUUCUCUCUGCUUGUAGUUUUAGAAUUUCCAGCUUUUGUAGCGUAGAACCUUUGAUCUUUUCAUUGGAGUUCUUUGAUCAAUUCAUUGGGUGACAGAUAGUGAACUCUGAGGACUCUGGUAUUUUGUAUUCUUCAUUUCAGAUUUUAAUUCAAAGUUUAUGUUUUCCUUUGAUCUAGUUUACAUUGCCUUUCAAUUUCAUUUACAUUUCCUGCAAUUGCGUUUACUGUUUUAGAACUUUCAUUUUGUUAAUUCUACAUUGUGAGUUUGAUUCUUGUUUCCUGUUAGGAUUUUUAAACAUUGUUUUUAAGUUUUCAGCAUUUUAUUACAUUUAGAUGAUUGUUUUAGGAACCUGUUUCAUUCCCUUUAGUUUUUCACUACUUUUAAUUGUUGAUUCUGAAUUUGAUAUUACGGUGUUAAGAUGUGUGCAUAUAAUUUUGAUUUCAACUUUGGCCCAUUGUUCUAUAUUCACUUUUCUUUCAUUUUUAUUUUGUUUCAAUUUUGUUUUGAUCUCUUUAGCAUUGUAUAUACCAAUUAGAGUUUGAUUUCAUUCUCGUUAAUCGUUGCAUUUCCAAUCAAGCAUCACCUCUCAUGCAUUCUACCUUUAGAUUCUUAUACUUUUCUUUUAGUUUCUUUUGAUAAGUCAUUUUAGUUUAGGUAUUCGAAUUAUCUUUCUCCAUCAUAGAUUACAAUCUUAUUUCUUUUCCUUUGCAUCAUUUUAUUUUCCCCUUUUGCAUUCAUUUUAGAUAAAAUCAUUCAUUUGCAUUAGCAUUAAGUUCUUUUCUUUUUCAGAUUCCAUUUAAUUUGCAUUUUCCCCACCUAGUUUUAGUUUAAAUGAAUAAAAUAGGUUUUAAUUCUACAAUUUCUAAACUUAAUAAGUAUCAAGUCCACGAAUUAGACCCUAGGUUGCCCCU
rnacentral:lncRNA from 1 species